AGAGCAGUGCCCGAGCAGAACUCUUCAGACAACAGAGUGCCCUUUCCCAUGGAUGAAUCAUGAUUAUUCCAAGCCAGUUGGAAUGAUCUCACCCCCUUGGCCAGUGACUCGUUUAGGGUGGAUCUAUAGCCUAGCUUUGUCCAAAGACACAUAAAGAAAAUUCUGCUGGGGCCUCCUAGAAAGAACUUCAUCUUCCUAAUAAAAGAGACAGCAGUGGGGAAAAUAACUCCUCACCCACACCCCUGCUUUGUGUUUGGAGGACUUGAUGCUUGGAGCAGCGGCAACCAUCUUGUAACCAUGAGGGGAAAAGUGCCGGUACCAUGAGUUUGACAGAGUGAACGUUUUUAGGUCUUCUGGGUCCUUCAUGAUAUUGUUGACCUCCUGAACCAAUGCUGGUCUGCCCUCUCUGGCUUGAUAGGUAGAGACUGAAGAUCCUUCUGCUUUAAGCAAAUGUUAGUUGGGCUUUUUUUUUUAUGCAGUCAAAAUCAUCUUAAAGUAUGGUUCUCAGGUCUGGCCAAGAGUCUUGAAAACAUGCCAAGGCCCUGGUCUCACCCGAGAUGGAUGGACUCAAAGCCUCCAGGGCUGGGGCCCAAGCACUGCAAUGUUCCAGGCUUCCCUAACGAUUGUAGUGCGUAGCCAGGGCCGAGAACCCUUUUCUCGAUCAACAUGUCAGGUGGCCAUGCUGGUUUUCCACACUCGAGGAGGGGAAGGGGCAUUGUGACCUCAGAAUCAUUUUGUGCCUGAUGUUUGGGAUGUUGAUUUUUUGUAGCAGCAUCAACAUUAGUUUUGUGUAUCGUAAAAAUAGCCAAAGACGGGGAAUCAAGAGAUUUAGGUUCACAUAACAACUGACUGUGAGCACCUCUCUUCCUCUCUUUGGCCUUCGAUUUUUCCACCUGUUAAAUAUCAGGAUGGCCUAGAGCGCGUCCUCUGAUCCUCUGGUCCCCACAGGGGCGCUGUGCAACCAGGUGGGUCCCCAGCCCAGCUGACCCAGGCGCCCUGCUUCCCUGUGCCUGAGGUCUGGGUGGGCCCAGCUCACCUUCGGGAGGGUGGGGAAUGGGCUCUGCCCAGUGAGAGGUGACCCCCUUGGCUGCCCCAGGGCCAGGGUCAGGCUUCGACCCACCCCGACCUGGCACAAGGCAGGAAUCAGCGCAUGUGGUGCUACACUGACCGGAAGGGCUGGUGCCCAGUGCCUGGCCUGGCAUCGUUGUGCCCCCAUCUGAGGGCAUCUGCUCCAGGCCAGGUUGACAAGGGGGAAGACACUGGAGAGAGACAGAGACCUGGGUUAUAGUAGCCAUGUUGAUACUAGAGUGCUGUAUGACCUUGGCCAAGUCCCUGCCCCUCUCUGGGCCUCAGUUUCCCAUUGCAAACAGAGAGUUUUGGGUUUCCAAGUGCUGUUCUGGUUCUUUAGCCUCUACAACUCAGUGAGACAUUUGGUUUGUGUUUGUGCUAUUAACCCCCAAACUCCCUGUCCCCAAGGGUCCCCUAUGGCCACCUUAACAGGUCUACCAUAUGCAAAGAGCUUAGCGUUAGUCAUGAGGAAAUAAGGAACCCGGUGUUAGGGGAAGGGUCUCAGAUCCGGAUGUCAGAAGCCCCAGGUCUAGUUUCAAUUUGCAACUUACUAGCUGUGUGACCUUCUUUAAAUCACUUCCCCUUGCUGGGCCUUAGUUCCUUUAUCAGUAACAAUGGGAAUGAGACCACCCACUUCACCACGUUCUAGAAGCCGAUGCCUGUGCGGGGGCAGUGUCUGGGUAGGAGGCCCAGCAAGCAGUCGACAGGACCCCCUCCCGCAGCCAUUGGCCCUGCAGCCUGACAUGAGCUGAUCAGAGGCGUAAGGACAGCACCCAGCUCCUGGGCCCCUUUCCUGACCAGACGCUUGUGGGAGGAGCCAGAUGAGGAAACAGAGGCACAUCAGGGAGAAACUGACAAGGAAGAGACGAAAGCCUACAGCAUCGGACUUGACCGUUGUCCUCCCCCCAUGUAGCCGACAGCAGCAUCCCUCUGUUCUGUGGGUUUGAGGAAAGGCCGGAGUCACAUUGAAGGCCGCAUGUAUGUAAUCAGAAGGUCUAUGUGUAUAUGUGUACAUGGGAAUACGUGCACAUCUAUUUUACAAGCGCAUACAGUAUAUGUAAUACAUAAUCUACCCAUCUGCCAAUUGCAAAAGUUUCAGUUUCUUGCAAAGAUCACAUGAGCCUCGGCCCGAGGCAAUCCUGACAGCCCGGGGCCAUGCGAGCAAGCGGGGACUUGGCUCCCAGGGUCUUUGACCCCACUCCAUGCAAAGCCCAGUAAGUUUCUGUCAAAACUUCUCUCUCCGAUCUGCCAUUCCGUCAGGCUGUAGAGGGUUCCAGAAAA